UGACUGUAUGAUUGACUGUAUGACUGUUUAUGUUUGAUCUUUAAUGAAAAUUUUUUAAUCUUGAUUGUGCUUUGAGAAUGUUUUUGCAGGAACUUUCAAGACUUCAAGACUUCGUGUCUUCAUGUCUAAGUCAUAGAGUUUGUAUUAGGAUUGUGAGAGAAAUGUAAUUUUAUUUUAUUGGAUCGAUUAUGCAGGAGAUUGUCGUUUGGUGAUUGCGAUAAUCUUUUUUCUUUUUACUGUUUCUGAGGUUUGUAUGAGUAUUGUAAUAUGUUUUGUCAUGAAAUCGCCAAAGGGGGAGAUUGUUAAGGAUUUUCUAAGUUGGCAAAUUUCGUAAAGUCGAAUGGAGUCUUGAAGAGCUAAAAGCGAAGUUUUUGGAAAGAAGAUUCACUUUGAAGAUCAAAGAGUCAGUUGGGAAG
rnacentral:lncRNA from 1 species